rnacentral:rRNA from 1 species
AUCCUGGCUCAGGAUGAACGCUGGCGGCGUGCUUAACACAUGCAAGUCGAACGAGAAUCUGUGGAAAGAGGAUUCGUCCAAUUGAAGCAGAGGACAGUGGCGGACGGGUGAGUAACGCGUGAGGAACCUGCCUUUCAGAGGGGGACAACAGUUGGAAACGACUGCCAAUACCGCAUAACAUAUAGAUGUCGCAUGGCAUUUAUAUCAAAGAUUUAUCGCUGAAAGAUGGCCUCGCGUCUGAUUAGCUAGUUGGUGAGGUAACGGCCCACCAAGGCGACGAUCAGUAGCCGGACUGAGAGGUUGAACGGCCACAUUGGGACUGAGAUACGGCCCAGACUCCUACGGGAGGCAGCAGUGGGGAAUAUUGGGCAAUGGGCGCAAGCCUGACCCAGCAACGCCGCGUGAAGGAAGAAGGCUUUCGGGUUGUAAACUUCUUUUGUCAGGGACGAGUAGAAGACGGUACCUGACGAAUAAGCCACGGCUAACUACGUG